ensembl:lncRNA
CUUGAAUUUUUUCUAAAGAAAAUAAAAGAAAAAAUGAAUGUAAUGCCUACCAAUUACAGAAAAUGUGUAGUAUAAAACAUAAAGAGAGAAAAAAGGAAUAGAAAACCCAAAUCGGCUUUUUAUGGUUAUAACCUGAAAAGAAAUUACAUCAGUAGAGAAGAGUAACUAUUUUCUCUGUCUUUAUUCAAUAUUGACUUGGAGAUCCUAGUUACGCAGUAAUAAAAGAAAAAGAAAUGAAAUAGAGAUUGAACAGGAAGAAACAAAAUUAUCUAUGGAGAAAACCCCAGAGAAUCUACAGACAAGUUAUUAGAACAAAGGGAGUUUGGCCAUGAUUGCUGGAUGUAAGAUCAAUAAGAAAAAAAUAAAAUGAAUUUCUAAAUCCUAGCACCAUAGAGCUAGAAAAAGUAAUUUUAAAGAUUCCAUUUAUAAUAGCAACAUAAAUAAGUAAGCAAAAAGUAAAUUUUGCAAAAGAUUUCCAAGUUGCUUUAUGUAGCGACAGCAAGACUUUAUUAAAAAACAUUUAAGAAGGCUGCAAUAAUGGAGAGAGAAGUCACGUUCAUUGAUGGCAAGAUUCAAGAUCAUAAAUAUGUCAAUUUCCUCCAAGUUAAUUUCUCAAUUCAAUUCAAUUUCAAUCAAAAUCUCCAAAACCUUUUUCAUCGUACUCAACAAAUGGAUUCUAAAAAUAUAUAUAUGGAAGAGUGAGAACAGCCAAGGCAAUUUUGAAGUUAGUGGCGUUUGUCCUAGCAAGUAUUCAGACUUACUAUGAUGUCAAUUUAAUUAAGACAGUGUGGUGUGGUGCAAGGAUAGAAGUAUGGAUCAAUGGGACAGAACAGUGAAGCCAGAAGCAUAUAUGGAAGCUUUACAUUCCCACAUGAAUAUGGAAACUUUAUGCUCGCCAGAGGCAACAUCGCAAAUCAAUACGAAAGUCAAUCACUUGAUAUCUUAACGGAAAAAAUAAAAUUAGAUCUCCAGAUUCAACCAAACACAUAAAUAGAUCUCAGGUGGAUUAAUGACUUAAAUGGGAAAAAAUAGAGUUUAAAUCUUCUGGAAUAAAAAAGAGGAGAAUAUCUUUAUUACUUCAGAGCCGGAAAGAUUUUCUUAAACAAAACGCAAAACAUACGAGCCAUGAAAGAAAAAAAAUUUAUGUAAACGACUAUUUUAACAUUAAAAAUGUUUGUGUACCAAAAGUCACCAUAGACUUUACUGGUUACUAAUUGAGAAAGGAGGUGAUUACUAACUGAGAAAGGAGGUGAUUACUAAUUGAGAAAGGAGGUGAUCACUAACUGAGACAGGAGGUGAUCACUAACUGAGAAAGGAGGUGAUUACUAACUGAGAAAGGAGGUGAUUACUAACUGAGAAAGGAGGUGAUUACUAACAGAGAAAGGAGGUGAUCACUAAUUGAGAAAGGAGGUGAUCACUAACUGAGAAAGGAGGGCUGCCGUAUGGAUGGCAGACACAGAGUCAGGAUCAGCGAUAUAUAAAUAACUCCUAUGAAGCAGU